AGCACCAUACUGAAGGAACAAAAUAUUGAAUUGGAAAACCUACUCAGUGCGUCUCUCUCUCUCUCUCUCUCUCUCUCUCUCUCUCUCAAGUCGCAUACUGAAUCCUCCAACUCCACCAUGUUCGGCUCCGCGCGAAUCUUCUCCGACAUCGCUCUCGGCCUCCGCCAAAACCUAUCGUUUCGAGGUGUGCGCGUGCAGAACAUCAACAUCGGAGGCGGUAUGGGAGGCGAGAUCCCCGACAACAAGCGUCUGGAGUACGCUCUCCAGCACCUGCACGGAAUAGGGCGCUCGAAAGCGCACCACAUCGUCUGCGAACUUGGCGUUGAGAACAAAUUCGUCAAGGACCUCAGCAAGAGGGAACUCUAUUCCAUUCGCGAGUUGCUCUCCAAGUACUUGAUUGGAAACGAUUUGAAAAAGUGCGUUGAGAGAGAUGUGGUAAGGUUGGUGGGCAUUCAGUGCUACCGAGGGAUCAGGCAUGUGGAUAACUUACCCUGCCGUGGACAGAGGACUCAUACGAAUGCACGCACUAGGAGGAGCCGGAAAACUUUCUCUGGAUCGAGAUAGGUACCGCUUGAGAAACAGAUGAGUCUGAGAUGAUGAAAUAAGUUUUGUUAGAGACUUAGCUGGUUUAAGUGAAAUCAAUGUUGAGAUUUACAUGUUCAAUAUGCCUUUGGCGGGUUCAUCUUUUCAUUGCAAGAGCUUUAAUGGUCUUAUUCUGCAUUUUGCUUUGUUGCAGUGCAAAAUUUCAAAUAAAUGUAAAUGAUGCCAUUGCAAUUGUGGUCUGCCAGAGGUUAUCGAUAUCCAAAAAGCCUUCGUUUUAGGACUCUGAAAUUGUGGUUGCAAAUUAUUUAUAAAGCCUUGAUGUUGGUGUUACUGAUGUGAUCA